UAGCUUCAAAGUUAAACAAGUCUCCAGAUUCCUGUUCUUGGCCGUCAAGUAUAAGGGUGUUUUCUUCUUCUUGCAGUGCAGAAACUGAUGUUUUCUUUUUGAGGGAUAAGAUAAAGGGAAGUGAUGAAGGAGAAUAAGAGCAAGAAAGGUGGAGGAGUUUAAUGGGUUUUAAUGUGUUUGAAAGAUGUGGGUAGGAAAAAGAUUUGGAUUUUGUGGUGGUGGCAAAGAGGGGAGGAAGAGAAAUGAGGCAACUGUUAGUUGCCAUGGAUGAAGGCUUUAUUAUUGGCUUGAUUGCACAGGACAUUUCUCUAUGCCUCUCUAAGGAAGGGUUUCGAGUAGAAGGGUUUAGAGGAGGGACAGAGGAUAAGAUGAAGAGGACUGAGGAGAAAGGCAAACCUAGAUUUUGUUGGGGAUUUUUCUAAAGAUUUU
rnacentral:lncRNA from 1 species